rnacentral:rRNA from 1 species
AUACGGAGGGUGCGAGCGUUAAUCGGAAUUACUGGGCGUAAAGCGUACGUAGGCGGUUGGUUAAGUUAGAUGUGAAAGCCCCGGGCUUAACCUGGGAACUGCAUUUAAAACUGGCGAACUAGAGUUGAGUAGAGGGGAGUGGAAUUUCAGGUGUAGCGGUGAAAUGCGUAGAGAUCUGAAGGAACACCAGUGGCGAAGGUGACUCCCUGGACUCGAACUGACGCUGAGGUACGAAAGCGUGGGUAGCAAACGGGAUUAGAAACCCUAGUAGUCC